rnacentral:rRNA from 1 species
AUACGGAGGGGGCUAGCGUUGUUCGGAAUUACUGGGCGUAAAGCGCGCGUAGGCGGACCAGUCAGUCAGGGGUGAAAUCCCGGGGCUCAACCCCGGAACUGCCUUUGAUACUGCUGGUCUUGAGUUCGAGAGAGGUGAGUGGAAUUCCGAGUGUAGAGGUGAAAUUCGUAGAUAUUCGGAGGAACACCAGUGGCGAAGGCGGCUCACUGGCUCGAUACUGACGCUGAGGUGCGAAAGCGUGGGGAGCAAACAGGAUUAGAUACCCCGGUAGUCC